GUUUUAAGUAGGACAUACCCUCAGAAUGUUUAGUUGUUUAAGAAUCUGAAACAAAAUAGGUCAAAUCUCCUGGACACUUUCAUAGGGAAAUAAAAUAGAGCACAAUUGUGCAGAGGCAACGCUUUAUUGGCAGUAUGGUCUAUUAGACCUCUGCGGCAACUAAGUAGACUAUAGUCUUCCUUCCCUGCAGGUAAGCAGGUCCAGAUCCUGAUGCAAAACCAAGG